rnacentral:lncRNA from 1 species
AGGUAGGCCUGGCCUACUAUAAAAGGGGCUGCUUGCCCCUCCUUCCUCUCUUACUCUUGCCUCUUUCUCUCUUGCCCUCUUCUUCCCUGUCUCUCCACAUUCCCUUCUCCUCUCUCUCCAUGGGGCCAUGGCCAGCCUCUACUUCUCUACUCUCUCCCUCCCUCUGCCUUUCUCUGCCUCUACUACCUUCUUAGCUCCCCUUCCAGAACAGACACUCUUCCUUACAAAAGGCCCGCCCUGAGAAAGUGGGGUAAGGUUUCACUAGUCACAACUCUCUGCCAUGACAGUAAAUGCCUUAAAACCAUGGACUGUCUCUUCUCAUCAGGAUCCGCCGUGCUGGAGCAGUGGAGCAGGCCUUCCUCUAAAGAGCUGUGUGUCUAAUCUCACGCAAGAGGCCUGUCUGCAUUCUCAGCCAGUUUCCACACCAAGCCACAAGACAAGGACUCUCCUCCCUGUGGGACCCAGCCGGAGCUCUCUCCUUCCCCCACCCCACCACUAUUUUCAGCUCAUCCAGCCACAUCUGGCAGAGUGAGAACCUGCUGUCCCUGGCCUCCAUGAGGCAGGGGACCCACAGGCCUGCCUGUGGCACCGUGGAGAUCUCAGACUGUGCCUCCCCACCCCCGGAGCGGGGUCCUGUAGCUUCUCACAGCCCGACACCCGCCCAGUGGUGUGGGGUGCGCACAGUCAAACUUCCUGCAUCCACCUCCACGAGCAGUGACAGGACAUGCAACACCAUUUCAACCCACAGAAGAAGAGUAAAACAAGAAUUAAAGAGAGGUGGAGUGCAGAGUUCUGAGAAACCUACUGAGGGCUGCUAAGAUGGCUCAGCAAGGAAAAUCACCUGCUGUCAAGACUGGCAACGUGAGUUUGAUCCCUGGGAACUUCAUGGUUGAAGGAGAGAGUCAACUCCAGUAAGCUAUCCCUGGAUGCCCUGGUCCUCCAACACAUAUAUCAGAUACAUAAAGAUGUAAUAAAAAUAUAAAACCCAUGGAAUUAUACUAGUCUACAGCAAGACUCAGAAAAUAUUUUUAAUAUAUUUUUCUUUAUCCCGUUUCUUCCUGUUCUGCUUUUGUUUUCUCUAAAUAGGGUCUUGUUAUACAACCCAGGCAGACUUUGACCUCAGUCCUCCAGCCCAGCCUCCUGCACCCUGAGGGUAUAGGUGUGAACCACACUCCCAGCUCAGAAUCCACUCCUUAGAUAAUAGUUCAUCCUUAUAAAGGAUUAUUGAAAACCUCCAUUCGGUACUGCUGUGAGCUCCCCAGCACUGUUCAUUCAGCCGUAACAUGCAAACUCACACCCUGGGCUCUCACCAUGCAGCCAGCUCUGUAUCUCAUUCUAUACGAGGGAAACAACCUCAGAGAAGUUAAUCCUGGC